rnacentral:piRNA from 1 species
GGUCAGAAGCUCAAUGGCGCCA